rnacentral:rRNA from 1 species
UGGGGAAUAUUGGACAAUGGGGGGAACCCUGAUCCAGCCAUGCCGCGUGUGUGAAGAAGGCCUUAUGGUUGUAAAGCACUUUAAGCGAGGAGGAGGGUACUGGUAUUAAUACUACCAGGUACUGGACGUUACUCGCAGAAUAAGCACCGGCUAACUCUGUGCCAGCAGCCGCGGUAAUACAGAGGGUGCGAGCGUUAAUCGGAUUUACUGGGCGUAAAGCGUGCGUAGGCGGCUAAUUGAGUCGGAUGUGAAAUCCCCGAGCUUAACUUGGGAAGUGCAUUCGAUACUGGGUAGCUAGAGUGUGGGAGAGGAUGGUAGAAUUCCAGGUGUAGCGGUGAAAUGCGUAGAGAUCUGGAGGAAUACCGAUGGCGAAGGCAGCCAUCUGGCCUAACACUGACGCUGAGGUACGAAAGCAUGGGGAGCAAACAGG